rnacentral:misc_RNA from 1 species
ACUAACUGAAAGUUGCUUCUCUUCUGGUGCUAUUCCACAAUUGCUUUGGAAAAAAUUGAACAAGUUUGAAAGGUCCUGGUCCCGGAAUCCUGUGAAUUUGUAGUACAACCCAUCUUUGAUUCGAACACCAAGUUGAUUUGUCCUUGGCACCUUCAUCCAUGUCACUCCUAUAACAUCAGCUUUAUCAACUUCAACUGCUUUACCACCCCCCAGUUUCUUCCAUAGAAUACCCCCCGAAUGUAACUUAAGCUGCCCAGGGUUGGUGCCUCCACGGCCACCGAGGGAGAUAUUGUUGAAGAG